GACGAACGCUGGCGGCGUGCCUAACACAUGCAAGUCGAGCGAGUGGAUCUCCUUCGGGAGAGAAGCUAGCGGCGGACGGGUGAGUAACACGUGGGCAACCUGCCUCAUAGAGGGGAAUAGCCUCCCGAAAGGGAGAUUAAUACCGCAUAAGAUUGUAGCUUCGCAUGAAGUAGCAAUUAAAGGAGCAAUCCGCUAUGAGAUGGGCCCGCGGCGCAUCAGCUAGUUGGUGAGGUAACGGCUCACCAAGGCGACGAGGCGUAGCCGACCUGAGAGGGUGAUCGGCCACAUUGGGGCUGAGACACGGCCCAGACUCCUACGGGAGGCAGCAGUGGGGAAUAUUGCACAAUGGGGGAAACCCUGAUGCAGCAACGCCGCGUGAGUGAUGACGGCCGUCGGGUUGUAAAGCUCGGUCUUCAGGGACGAUAAUGACGGUACCUGAGGAGGAAGCCACGGCUAACUACGUGCCAGCCGCCGCGGUAACAC
rnacentral:rRNA from 1 species